UGCUACUCUAUUAGCAACAAAUGUGUCC
rnacentral:sRNA from 1 species